GAUGAACGCUGGCGGCGUGCCUAAUACAUGCAAGUCGAGCGAACAGACGAGGAGCUUUCUCCUCUUCCGUUAGCGGCGGACGGGUGAGUAACACGUGGAUUCCCUCCCUCUUAGACUGGGGGAACUUCGUUGAACCGGAGCUAAUACCUGUUAACAUGUUUAACCGCAUGUUUCAUCAUUGAAAGACGGUCUUCCUUUCAUUUAUAGUUUCAUCCGCGUCGCAUUAGCUAGUUGGUAAGGUAACGGCUUACCAAGGCAACGAUGCGUAGCCGACCUGAGAGGGGGAUGGGCCACACUGGAACGGAGAAACGGUCAAGACUCCAACGGGAGGCAGAAGAAGGGAAUCUUCCGAAAUGGGCGAAAGCCUGACGGGGAAACGCCGCGUGGGUGAAAAAGGUCUUCGGAUCGUAAAACUCUGUUAUUAGGGAAGAACAAAUGUGUAAGUAACGAGGCAAGUAUUGACGGUACCUAAACAGAAAGCCACGGCUAACUACGUG
rnacentral:rRNA from 1 species